UGUGGAUGGUGUAUUUUUUGCAACUUUCUUGCAGAUGAAGUUAUUGUUGAUGUCAAUUAUUUGUAAUAAUAAUUACAUCACGUCAUUCGGCAUUUUGUCCUGCCUCAUUUCUUUUGAAAACGUACUGAAACAAAAGCUUAAAACCGAAGCAGAAAUCCAUCAGAAAUGGUUGAUAUUAUGCACAAAGUCGACCAGAUGAACAAAGGUACGGCCGCUCCAUCUACACCGGGUGUUCUUUCUCUGAAACCCAAGGGCCACUUUGGUGAAAAUAGUCUGUGUGGAAAAACAGACAGAUCCUUGGCCCAGUUUGCACUGUACGAGCUGGACAUGUUCGUUUUCUUUGUUCAGAGGAAACACAUUCCUUUGUCCCACCUUUGACCCUGGAGAGAGAGAGAGAGAGAGAGAGAGAGAGAGAGGCUGCAGAAUGAAAUGAAUAAAUAAACAAAGAGAAACUUCAGUUUUCUUGUCAGCAGAUGAACUUUCCUUCACUUCAGAUUUGACGAGACCACGUUCUACACUGCAGUAACUGUGACGUCUCUCCUUUAAGGAGCUUCGCCGCCGUCUCUUGUUUGUUUUCAUGUCACCUCCCACUGAUGGCAUGUGCACCCUCACUUCCUGUCUGACAGGAUGCAGAACUGUGGCAGCUGGACGCUAAGAAUGGCGACAAAAGGAGGAGGGAGAAAGUGCAGAAGGUGAGAAAAGAGUUGAGAAGAUGACAGGAGGAGGUGAAGAGGGGCGCCGUGUGACUUAGAACAACACAGGAGUCGGCAGAGCCAUCAAUCAAUCCUGAUUUUUACAAGUCCGCUCAGUCCUCAGGGAAAGGCCCAAUCAGGCAAAACAUCUGUGCGUAAGCUGUGACAGGAGCAGUGAGUCAAGCAGGAACACCGGCAGAGAGCGGGGAAGGGAACAUCCUGGGUCACGGAGCCGAGUGCUGGGGGUUUCACAGCUCAUGCAUGAUCUGCCUGCCGGAGCCUCACUCUGCCCUGCUGCAGCAGGGGAUUUCCCAAAUGAUGCAGUACCAAGAUAUGUCACUACAAGGCGGUGUUGUAAAUCUGUGUUGACAACAUAUCAUUGACGUUUCACAACGUGUUAGAUGAGGAGCCACCGAGACACCCUGUAUGUCACUGAGGGUAAAUCCAUGUGAGUUAUGAAUGGAUUAAACUGUGAGUUAAUACAGACUAAUGUCAGGGUUCACUCUCUCUGCUGGUAGUUUCCCCUCUCGCCCACUGCCUGUUGCCUGUUGUGUGUGGGAACUGUCAGCAGAAACAGGUUGGCAUCACAGAGGAAUGGCCUUUUUUCUCCCCUGUGAUCUUUCUUGGCCUGUGGAGGGGAAAAGGAAAGGAAGAGAGAGAGAGAGAGAGAGAGAGACAUGGGUGAGCAGAGAGACUGGGGGAGAAGCCAGAGGGGGGCAAAGUGAUGAUGAAGAAAAUGAUGAUGAUGACGAUGAAGGAACCCGUCUGACAUGGGUGAGUCACCAGAGUGGAGGACACAGUGGAGUGGACAGACAUAACUGUUUACCAGUGUUAUUGUAACACGAGGUUUGAUCGCUGGACGCUGCCGUCUCACCUUGGUCUGACGGAGGGACGCACAGACAGAACGCAGACAUUUAACUGUUGAAGUUUUAUCAUUUUUCUUUGGUUUUGGUAAAGUUUUUUUCCCCAAAGUUUUCCAGCUUUUUUCUCAAACUAUAUCAUUUCAUUUA